GGGGGUUAAUAGGGUCAGAUUUUUUUUUGUUUUUUUUCCCGUCAGAUUGAACGCUGGCGGCAGGCCUAACACAUGCAAGUCGAGCGGAUGAAGGGAGCUUGCUCCUGGAUUCAGCGGCGGACGGGUGAGUAAUGCCUAGGAAUCUGCCUGGUAGUGGGGGAUAACGUCCGGAAACGGGCGCUAAUCCCGCAUACGUCCUGAGGGAGAAAGUGGGGGAUCUUCGGACCUCACGCUAUCAGAUGAGCCUAGGUCGGAUUAGCUAGUUGGUGGGGUAAAGGCCUACCAAGGCGACGAUCCGUAACUGGUCUGAGAGGAUGAUCAGUCACACUGGAACUGAGACACGGUCCAGACUCCUACGGGAGGCAGCAGUGGGGAAUAUUGGACAAUGGGCGAAAGCCUGAUCCAGCCAUGCCGCGUGUGUGAAGAAGGUCUUCGGAUUGUAAAGCACUUUAAGUUGGGAGGAAGGGCAGUAAGUUAAUACCUUGCUGUUUUGACGUUACCAACAGAAUAAGCACCGGCUAACUUCGUGCCAGCAGCCGCGGUAAUACGAAGGGUGCAAGCGUUAAUCGGAAUUACUGGGCGUAAAGCGCGCGUAGGUGGUUCAGCAAGUUGGAUGUGAAAUCCCCGGGCUCAACCUGGGAACUGCAUCCAAAACUACUGAGCUAGAGUACGGUAGAGGGUGGUGGAAUUUCCUGUGUAGCGGUGAAAUGCGUAGAUAUAGGAAGGAACACCAGUGGCGAAGGCGACCACCUGGACUGAUACUGACACUGAGGUCGAUAAGACGGGA
rnacentral:rRNA from 1 species